AUACGGAGGAUGCGAGCGUUAUCCGGAUUUAUUAGGUUUAAAGGGUGUGUAGGCGGUAUUUUAAGUCAGUGGUGAAAUCUUUCAGCUUAACUGAGAAACUGCCAUUGAUACUGGAAUACUUGAGUAUAUUUGAGGUAGGCGGAAUAUGUAAUGUAGCAGUGAAAUGCAUAGAUAUUACAUAGAACACCGAUUGCGAAGGCAGCUUACUAAACUAUUACUGACGCUGAUGCACGAAAGCGUGGGGAGCGAACAGUAUUAGAAACCCCAGUAGUCC
rnacentral:rRNA from 1 species